rnacentral:tRNA from 1 species
GUCCAGGGUAGCCUAGUGGUCAUGGCAUCUGCCCGGUAAGCGGAAGGUCGUGGGUUCGAUUCCCAUCCCAUCCC